UACGUAGGGGGCAAGCGUUGUCCGGAUUUAUUGGGCGUAAAGAGCGUGUAGGCGGCUAGGUAGGUCCGUUGUGAAAACUCGAGGCUCAACCUCGAGACGUCGAUGGAAACCAUCUAGCUAGAGUCCGGAAGAGGAGAGUGGAAUUCCUGGUGUAGCGGUGAAAUGCGCAGAUAUCAGGAAGAACACCCGUGGCAAAGGCGGCUCUCUGGUACGUGACUGACGCUGAGACGCGAAAGCGUGGGGGAGCGAACAGG
rnacentral:rRNA from 1 species